UGCCAGCCGCCGCGGUAAUACGAAGGUCCCAAGCGUUGUUCGGAAUCACUGGGCGUAAAGCGUGUGUAGGCGGCUUGGUAAGUCAGAUGUGAAAUCUCCGGGCUCAACCUGGAAACUGCAUCCGAUACUGCCAAGCUAGAGUAGUGGAGGGGAGUCUGGAAUUCACGGUGUAGCAGUGAAAUGCGUAGAUAUCGUGAGGAACACUAGUGGCGAAGGCGAGACUCUGGACACUCACUGACGCUGAGACACGAAGGCUAGGGUAGCGAAAGGGAUUAGAUA
rnacentral:rRNA from 1 species